rnacentral:rRNA from 1 species
CCUUGUACACACCGCCCGUCACACCAUGGGAGUCAGUUGCUCCAGAAGUGGCUUACCCAACCCGCAAGGGAGGGUGGUCCCCAAGGAGUGGCUGGUAACUGGGGUG